rnacentral:lncRNA from 7 species
CAGUUAAUGCUUUGGGAGAACUCAGAAGCAUUCUGUGUAGUGUCAAAGCUGUGAGAGGAAUGUUAGCACUCAGUGGAAACACAGCAGAAACAUGGACAACCCAGAGAUGGAUGUCAUGACAUUGCAACAGUUAAACACUGAUCAGAAUGGUAUGCCAAUACCAAGUACACAGGUUUGUGCUGAAUGCCUACUUAUCAAGGAAAUCUGUUGGCAGAGGGAUACCCAAGUCACAGCAGUGAUGAAAAGAAGAAAAUGAUCCAAAGCACCGAAAGACAACUGAGUGACUUUUCUAUUCGCAAACUGAUAGACUGAGAAGAAGGAAGGAAUAAAAGAUCUGUCUUGUGAAAUUGAAGAGAGUGAAGAACACUACUUUCCAGCUGUUCUUGGUGUGUAAAGGGUGUGGUGGUCAUGGGGACACUGAAGGGUGGAAAGAGUGAAAACAGCUUUAUCUUCCACAGCUUCCAAGGAACAGAUGCAGUAUUUAGUGAAAGGGCACCACAGGUGACCCCUCCUGCUGUGUCAGCCAAAGAAAGAGAAGCCUCUGUCUCUGUCAUGUCACCUGAUGAGUAGGAAGUAUGCAAGCUGAACUCCCAACAAGAUAGAUACUUUCUGUCCUGCUGCUUGUUUUAUGGAAUUUGCUCAUAUAAUUGCCUUUGGUACGCGACUGUUGGGAACUGGAGAAAAAAGGAUAAAGGGGAGUUAGAUGAAAGAAAACUAAUUCUUCAUUAUCCCCUCCUGGAAAACCUACAGCUGGGACCUUAGUCUAUUUGUAUUAAUGCUAACUUCAGUGUCAUGUUGUCUUUGAGCUCUCAUGUCUUAUAUUUUAAAAAUUUUGCUCACUGGAACAAAUAAGUUCAAGUAUACAAAUGUACUUCCCUCCUUUGCAAAUUAAACAUAUUUCUGGUAAUAAGGUGAAAGUUUAAGCAUUAACAUGAGUACUAACAUAAGAAAUAUUUUGCACAGAUAAAGUUACAGAUAUGCAUUCUAAUAUGUGAAAUUUCGUAAGGUAUAAAUCACAGAGAAAAAGUCAAAAUUCAUUUUGCUAAAUGUACUGAGACUGGAUGCCUGUACCUGAGCUAACCACUUUAAGCUCCCUAAUAGCCAAAGAAGAGCAACAGGCACUUCUAGGUCACAAUUUGUCAUAUACUAAAAAAGGCAUCUAAAGUAGGUCAGAUGAAUUGCUCCGAGAAUGGCUGUUAUUCUCUACCAACUAUAAAGGGAGAUCUGGUUGAUUAAUUCACAUUCAAUGUAGAUGUUUAAGGAAAAUAUGAUGAAUCUCAUUCAGUGAAUCCAGAAUGACUAUUAAAGGACCACAAAACAAAAUAAGAACACUUGUUUUCCUGAUAUGUAGAAACUGAGAAAGUUAGGCAGAAGUUAACACUGACUUUAGGUUCCAAACUAAUUUAGGAAUUUUGGAAUAUUUUAAUAUUGUUUAUUUCUGUGUAUUCCUAUUACAUACUACAAACUUCUUAACACUACAUUUUAAUCUUUUGAUCAUAUUUUCUUCCUUUAAGAACAAUGAAAACCUUCCCCAACCUUAGCAGACUUUUAUGAAUAUAAACCUAACAAAGCAAAGCAAUUCACCUUUUUGUCUAUUAAGAAAGUGCUGUACUACCAAUAGCUUGGGAAACAUAACAUUAAAGACUGAUCUGCUUACCGUCAUAACUUGAUUUCAGUGAAAGUGCUCUAUGAAGACUUUAUCAGAUGAACAGAAGAACUUCAAUCAAAAGUGUGUGUCUUGAAUCUUCACUUUUUGUGGAGAAAUAAUACUGUUCAAAUGUAAUUCUCUGUAGCUGUGACUGUUUCAAUACUGAAAAGAUUACUUCAUUAAAGAAACAAUAUGUUCAAAUGUGAAAAUGAAAAGAUAAUGGAAGAAGACUCUCAAUUAAAAAUUUUUUGAAGUAGAU